rnacentral:rRNA from 1 species
CCCUUAGAUGUUCUGGGCCGCACGCGCGCUACACUGAUGUGUCCAGUAAGCACCUAACCUCUUCCGAAAGGAACGGGUAACCUUUGCAAAGCACAUCGUGAUGGGGAUAGAUUAUUGCAAUUAUUAGUCUUGAACGAGGAAUUCCUAGUAAGCACAAGUCAUCAGCUUGUGUUGAUUACGUCCCUGCCCUUUGUACACACCGCCUGUCGCUCCUACCGAUUGAAUGUUCCGGUGAGCUCUUCGGACUGCGCGGUCUGCAGUUUCUGCGUUCCGUGCGGAAAGUUGCGCAAACCUUAACAUUUAGAGGAAGGAGAAGUCGUAACA